AUUAGAUUGAAACUGUUAAGUAUUAGUAAUUGUAGUACUUAGUUAUUCAUGAUGUGACUUGAAAUUUGAUAGAAGAAGAUUGUAAAUGAAACCAUGGAGCAGAUUCCACCCCCCAAGGAAAUAAAAAUUUUGGAAACAGCAGAAGACAUCCAGGAAAGGCGUCAACAGGUUUUGACUCGUUAUGAUAAUUUCAAAGCUGAUGCCAGAGCUAAAAGAGAGAAACUUGAAGAUUCUCGUAGAUUCCAGUACUUUAAAAGAGAUGCAGAUGAGCUAGAAUCAUGGAUUUUAGAAAAACUUCAAGCAGCUAGUGAUGAGAGCUACAAAGAUCCUACCAAUUUGCAGG